rnacentral:misc_RNA from 1 species
GUCAUGAUGGACGGAAACUUGGCGUACGGAGCGGGACCAGCUGGUCAACCUUUUGACCCGCUUACAUUUAUUAAGAAGCCAACAGUAAUUUUAAGAUUGCUAUCUUUGGUGUUCAGCCUCAUAGUGUUCAGCUGCAUAGCGUCGGAGGGAUGGUUCCAGGACGACGAGGGUUACGAGGUGUGCCAGUAUAACAUGAACAGCUCGGCGUGCCACUACGGCACCGGAAUCGGCGUUCUCGCCUUCCUCGGCUGCGUCGGGUUCCUCGUCGCCGACGCCCUCUUCGAGAACAUCACGAGCGUGAAGACGCGGAAACACGUCGUCGUCGGCGACAUGAUCUUUUCGGCGCUGUGGACGCUUCUUUGGUUCAUUGGAUUCUGCUUCUUGGCAAACACUUGGAGCAAGACACCUACUAUACUUCUACCAGCGGACGGCUUCGGAAAGAACAACGUACAAGCUGCCAUCGCAUUUUCCUUCUUCUCCAUCUUCACAUGGGCCGGCCUCUCGUUCUUCGCCGUGAAGCGGUUUCGCGACGGCGUCAGCUCGGCGUUCGCGCCCGCCUACGACCCGGACUCGGUCGGCAGCGCCCCCGCGCCGGGCUACUCCGCGUACCCGGGAGCGGCAGACGACAACGCGCAGCCCGGCUUCCCCGAUGACCCGUUCGGAGGCAAGCCCGCGCCGCAGCUCGGCCAGCAGGACUACCAGCCACCGAUGUACUAGAGGGCGCCGGGGGGCGGGCGGACGUACGACGGCCCGUUGCCGGCGCAGGGUGGGGAUCGGGAUUCGGCGUUCGCGUCUCGCUCGCGUCUCGCACGCAUCUCAGGCGCGUCUCGCACGCGUCUUGCUCGCGUCUCAGGCGCAUCUCAGGCGCGUCUCGUUCGCGUCUUGCUCGCGUCUCAGGCGCAUCUCAGGCGCGUCUCGUUCGCGUCUCAGGCGCGUAUCGCUGGCAUCUCGUUUGUGUCUCAGGCGACUCGACGAGACAUCCGGCGGCGGCGUGCAUCCGUCCGCUCGCGCCCGAUGCUGGCGGCGGAACGCGCGACGGUGUGAAGACGUGGCGGCGGAGAUUUGUUUCGGAGAGUGGAGCGCGACGUCUCGGUCUCGCUCCCAGUGCCGCGCGCCGCCGAUCUUUGGCGUUGUUGGCUUCACCACUGCUACUCGUUAUCACGAUUUCGUCGCGAUUUCGUCAUGAUUUCGUCAUGAUUUCCUGCACGUUGCAGCUGUCGUCGGGAAUGGUCGGGUUAAUACUUUGUCGGCGUCCGAUGCGAUUCGUAGACGAAAUGCUAAAGGUGGGCAAUAAUUUACCUGCAGAAUAUUUAACUGAAAACCUACACGUGCAUGCACAGUCGCACAUAUGCAUUGACGUGUCGCAUAAAGGUUGCUUGCGUUUCCAGAUUCUAAAUUAUCGCGGGAGUUGUGCGCAUUGCUCUAUCAUCUUGUGCCUCUUGUGUUCUAUGCGUGUUAUCAAGUUAUUUUACUCUAGCACGUGUUGUACAUCUUUAUAUCCUUAUAUCUGGCUUUAUGUGUUUUAACCACUCACCAUGAUGUCUGUCUGUGUAUAUACAAAUAUGUAUGCGUGUUCACGCAUUUGUGCGUGCGUAUGUAUGCAUGUAUGUAUGUACAUAGACAAAUUUUGGUGAGUAUAUACAUAUAUAUUAUUACACUUUCCUGUGAUCUAUGAUAGCCAAUUCUAUGCUGUGUGUCUAUAGUGGGUCCGCCGUGCCAUUUGCAUAUUAGCAUUAGAUUAGUGGAUUACGUGGAACUUCUAUUUAGAUGGAUAGUGGUGUCGGAUAUUUCAGUUUACCCUGAAGAAUCUCACUCGUUCGCCUUGUCAAGUGUUGGUAAUGAAGUUCGUGAGGUGCCUACCUAAUUUAUUUCACUUCUCUGUAUUUUAUUUUGGACGUGCCAGCUUCCAGAGUCAUUGGCAUGGGAAUUCUCUAGAUUUAUUCGGAUGAUAAUUUUGUUUUAUCUCGUCUAUCAGUAGAUGGAGUCUUCUUCAGGGAAUUAUUGCAACUUUAGCACGUGUACUGUUUUACGGUCGUUUUUUGUAUCGUUUAUCAUACUUUGGUCUUCGGCAGGUUUCGUGCAGCCCACCGUGUUCGUAUGUAAGAUUGUGCUGUUUCAUAUAAGUGUAUGUACUCUUCCCAUAAGACGUCCGGUUUGCUUAGUUGUGUAGGCUGUUUCAUCCGGUCGAAGCAAUGACACCACAUAGUCGUGAAGUUCAUGUUGGCUUAUAUAAGAACAGACGAGUCAUUCAAAGAUGUUAUGAUGGGAUAGCCUGCACAAAGUUCUAUAUGAGGACUAACUCAGGAGAUAUGGAAAUCUUUAAGCCCAAUGAGCUCUGUAUUAAUAUACUAGUCUCAACUCUUUCUAUAAUUUUGAGUAAUCGACAAAUGUGCCAGGUUUAAUAUUCAAGGUCUUUUAGCGCUCACGAACAGUGCUAGAAUUUGCCAGACAACCGGGGAUGGUUUCGAGUUGCCACGCUUUAGCGACGUUUUGAGCGAUAUGUUGCAAGAGCGUGGCUGCCAUUACUAAAUUCAUUGAUACUCAGUAGUAGAGGUGGAUAAUGUUGUAUUGCCAGGAACAUGUCUUACUGUCCUGUGGCUUAACACAAGGUUAGAGAGUAGCAAUCGUAUGGCCUUUGCGUGUGUCGGCCAUUUUGAGACCUUCGCGCGAGUUUGCCAAGUAGCUGUUGUUUUUUCUCUGUAUGUUAUUUGAGAUAACUUAUCUCUAAGGUAUUGAACAAUAUAUUGAUUAUAUUGGCUAGGUAUUACCGAGUAAAUUAGAUGUUUAUGAAUGUGAUGUUGCUAGUUGUAUGAGAAGUACAUCGAAGUAGCCGGAAUAGAGUUCACAAGGAUGGCUCUGUAGAAGAGUUGGCACGAAUUGCUGCACCAACCGUUUGUUUUCUUAUGUAUGUGUGAGCCUAGGCAUAUAUACUUUUGUAUAGAACAGCA